rnacentral:rRNA from 1 species
AACAAACGCUGGCGGCGUGCCUAAUACAUGCAAGUCGAACGGGGAAAGCUUUCGGGUGAGUACUAGUGGCGCACGGGUGAGUAACGCGUGGAUAAUCUGCCUUAGAGUGGGGGAUAACUAGUCGAAAGAUUAGCUAAUACCGCAUAAGACCACAAGAACUGCGGUUCAAGGGGUCAAAGGUUUUUCGCUCUAAGAUGAGUCCGCGUAAGAUUAGCUAGUUGGUAGGGUAACGGCCUACCAGGGCGACGAUCUUUAACUGGUCUGAGAGGAUGAUCAGUCACACGGGAACUGAGACACGGUCCAGACUCCUACGGGAGGCAGCAGUAGGGAAUAUUGCACAAUGGAGGAAACUCUGAUGCAGCGACGCCGCGUGAGUGAUGAAGGCCUUCGGGUCGUAAAGCUCUGUCGCAGGGGAAUAACACAAUGAAGGUACCCUGUAAGAAAGGAUCGGCUAACUUCGUGCCAGCCGCCGCCGUAAAAC